GAUGAAGAACGUAGCGAAAUGCGAUACGUAAUGUGAAUUGCAGAAUUCAGUGAAUCAUCGAAUCUUUGAACGCAUAUUGCGCUCUCUGGUAUUCCGGAGAGCAUGCUUGUUUGAGUAUCAGUAAACACCUCAACUUCCAUAUCUUUUUUGAAAUGGGAGUUGGACUUGAGUGAUCCCAACGCUUUUCCUCACCGAAAAGUGGCGGGUUACUUGAAAUGCAGGUGCAGCUGGACUUUUCUCUGAGCUAUAAGCAUAUCUAUUUAGUCUGCCUAAAAAACAGAUUAUUACCUUUGCUGCAGCUAACAUAAAGGAGAUUAGUUCUUGUGCUGACUGAUGCAGGAUUCACAAAGACAGGCUUCGGCCGACUUUGUAAACUCGAUCUCAAAUCAAGUAAGACUACCCGCUGAACUUAGCAUAUCAAUAAGCGGAGGA
rnacentral:misc_RNA from 1 species